UACAGAGGGUGCAAGCGUUAAUCGGAAUUACUGGGCGUAAAGCGCACGUAGGCGGUUUUUUAAGUCAGAUGUGAAAGCCCCGGGCUCAACCUGGGAAUUGCGUUUGAAACUGGGGAACUAGAGUGUGUGAGAGGGGGGUAGAAUUCCAAGUGUAGCGGUGAAAUGCGUAGAGAUUUGGAGGAAUACCAGUGGCGAAGGCGGCCCCCUGGCCUAAUACUGACACUGAGGUGCGAAAGCAUGGGGAGCAAACAGG
rnacentral:rRNA from 1 species